rnacentral:rRNA from 1 species
UCAGAAUCUAAAGAAACUAAUUCUGUAUGGAGAAACAAAAAAUCUCUCAUUUCCGACGCGAAUAGAUUUUUUUAUUUCAAAAUAAAGGUUCUUGUCUUGUGGGGAACGAUGCACCGCAAGCAAUCGACCCGAAUCAUUCAAUACGACAGUAUGAACACGAUACCAAGGCAAACCCAUGGAAAUACCCCUUUAGCAAAGAAAAAUAGACACGAUGUCGCUUUAUUUUAUCGCAUUGAAAAAGACUAUCCAUAUCCUAUGUACCUAACCCUUCUAGGGGAUUCUGUGUGA